GGGAUAACAGUUGGAAACGACUGCUAAUACCCCAUACUCCUUCUUCCUAUAAGGGAAGUUGGGAAAGUUUUUUCGCUAAGGGAUCGGGCUAUAUGGUAUCAGCUUGUUGGUGAGGUAAUGGCUCACCAAGGCUAUGACGCCUAUCUGGUCUGAGAGGAUGAUCAGACACACUGGAACUGAGACACGGUCCAGACUCCUACGGGAGGCAGCAGUGGGGAAUAUUACACAAUGGAGGAAACUCUGAUGUAGCAACGCCGCGUGGAGGAUGACACAUUUCGGUGCGUAAACUCCUUUUAUAUGGGAAGAUAAUGA
rnacentral:rRNA from 1 species